AAACUUUAAUUUUUAACACACACACAUACCGGCACAUACACUUGGGUGCAGGGCGCUUAUAGUAAGCAAACUGUUGGUGCUAUGGGGUAUGUGGAGGCCUAAC
rnacentral:sRNA from 1 species